UGAGUUAUUAUGAAGUAGUUAGAAUAUGUAGUGUAGCGGUGAAAUGCAUAGAUAUUACAUAGAAUACCAAUUGCGAAGGCAGAUUACUAAUAAUCAACUGACACUGAUGGACGAAAGCGUGGGUAGCGAACAGGAUUAGAUACCCUGGUAGUCCACGCCGUAAACGAUGGUUACUAGCUGUUUGGACCUUGUGUCUGAGUGGCUAAGCGAAAGUGAUAAGUAACCCACCUGGGGAGUACGUUCGCAAGAAUGAAACUCAAAGGAAUUGACGGGGGCCCGCACAAGCGGUGGAGCAUGUGGUUUAAUUCGAUGAUACGCGAGGAACCUUACCAGGGCUUAAAUGUAAGUUGCAUUAGUUAGAGAUAGCUAUUUCUUCGGACCACUUACAAGGUGCUGCAUGGUUGUCGUCAGCUCGUGCCGUGAGGUGUCAGGUUAAGUCCUAUAACGAGCGCAACCCCUGUUGUUAGUUGCCAGCGAGUCAUGUCGGGAACUCUAACAAGACUGCCAGUGCAAACUGUGAGGAAGGUGGGGAUGACGUCAAAUCAUCACGGCCCUUACGUCCUGGGGCUACACACGUGCUACAGUGGUCGGUACAGAGAGCAGCCACUACGCGAGUAGGAGCGAAUCUUAAAAGCCGAUCACAGUUCGGAUCGGAGUCUGCAACUCGACU
rnacentral:rRNA from 1 species